CGUGUCCACUGGAAUCAAGAUGGCCGCCACGAUCACGUGUCCACUGGAGCCAAGAUGGCCGCCACAAUCAUGUGUCCACUGGAACCAAGAUGGAAGCCAUGAUCACGUGUCCACUGGAGCCAAGAUGGCCACCAUGAUGCUGCUUCCACUGGAGCCAAGAUGGCCGCCAUGAUCACGUGUCCACUGGAAUCAAGAUGGCCGCCAUGAUCACGUGUCCACUGGAACCAAGAUGGCCGCCAUGAUGCCGUGUCCACUUGAGCCAAGAUGGCCGCCAGCCCCCACAACUUCCGGUUCAAGAUGGCCGCUGCCGUGACGUCACCACACCCUCAGGGCGGCCAUGUUGGGCGUCCCAUGGCGGCGAUACCCAGGGGCCACCUUAGGCUCAACUCGUCCGCCAUCUUGGGGUCCCCCAGCGGCCAUCUUGAGGUCAACAUGUCCGCCAUCUUGGGGUCACCCGGCAGCCAUCUUGGCCGCAUCCCAGUCAGCCAUCCUGGGGCCAACACGUCCGCCAUCUUGGUGUCAUGGCGGCCACCUUGGCCGUAACCGUCAGCCAUCUUGGGGCCAACAUGUCCGCCACCUCGGCCAUAACCCAGAGGGCACCUCGGGGUCACCCAGUCGGCCAUCUUGGGGCCAACAUGUCCGCCAUCUUGGGCUCACCCAGUGGCAUCCUCGACCUCGGCCCAGUCAGCCAUCUUGGGGCCAACGUGCCCGCCAUCUUAGGGUCGCCCAGUGGCCAUCUUGGCCCUUGUCG
rnacentral:lncRNA from 1 species